CCUACGGGAGGCAGCAGUGGGGAAUUUUGGACAAUGGGCGAAAGCCUGAUCCAGCCAUUCCGCGUGAGUGAAGAAGGCCUUCGGGUUGUAAAGCUCUUUCGCAAGGAAAGAAAACUUAUCUCCUAAUACGGGGUGAGGAUGACGGUACCUUGAUAAGAAGCACCGGCUAACUACGUGCCAGCAGCCGCGGUAAUACGUAGGGUGCGAGCGUUAAUCGGAAUUACUGGGCGUAAAGCGUGCGCAGGCUGUUUUGUAAGUCAGAUGUGAAAUCCCUGGGCUCAACCUAGGAACUGCGUUUGAAACUACAAGGCUAGAGUGUAGCAGAGGGGGGUAGAAUUCCACGUGUAGCAGUGAAAUGCGUAGAGAUGUGGAGGAAUACCAAUGGCGAAGGCAGCCCCCUGGGUUAACACUGACGCUCAUGCACGAAAGCGUGGGGAGCAAACAGGAUUAGAUACCCUGGUAGUCCACGCCCUAAACGAUGUCUACUAGUUGUUGGGAGAGUAAAAUCUCUUAGUAACGCAGCUAACGCGUGAAGUAGACCGCCUGGGGAGUACGGUCGCAAGAUUAAAACUUAAAGGAAUUGACGG
rnacentral:rRNA from 1 species